UUAGUCCAAAUCAGUUAUUCAGUUUGUUCGGCGUUCGUGGUGCCGACUGCCGAGAAUUGGUGAUGGUGAGUGUGGUAGAAAGUGCAUGUUCACGUUGUGGUUUCGAAUAUAUGUUUUUAGCAGUUGCUGGUUAAAGUUUUAUGGAAAUUGGUAGCUUAUUUUUCAAUUGCUAAACUUUGUCGAUGAUGAUUUAGCUGUGUACAUGGUUAGACCACUGACCACGUGUGUGAGGAAAUUGUCUAGGGCGGUCUGAGACACAUUUUAUACAUAGAGCUGAUUAUUUAAAUGCUCUCAGAUGGAAAAUAAUUUCUUUUCUUUCGUUUCAAGUGUCGUCGAAUGGUUAGCGCCCGUCGCCAUAGUUCCAUGGGGUUUUAUCCAGAGAAGAGAUCAUUGAGGCUUCGUGGUGAAGUGAAGCGAAAGCGUUUCACGCUACUUCACUUUUUAGCUACAAAGCUGGUACGAGUCAAGUGGUAAGAGACGCCGAUAGGCCUGGGUCAAGUGGGUGAAGAAGAAUCAUCCCCGCUUGUGACGAGAUACUUGUUUGCCAAUCUGGUUUCCCUAUACCAGCAUUCUGUCUUAUCUGCUACACUCCCAAGAUUUUUUUGAGCUGGUACAAGUCAAGGAAGAAGCUUCCAAGAAGUGGCAAAAUGAUCUGGGUUAUAAGUCAAUUGUGACCUCAAAAAAUUGAGACAUGACAAGGUUAUUGGAGCCCACUCAGAUACACGAAAUGCUGCACUGGCAACAUUUUUGCAAUUACGUCCAUUUAUAGAAGUGUCAUGGUUCAAUAUUUAUGCAGGAGACUACCAAAGGCUUGUCAAAUCUAUGCCACACAAAGUUGCUGCACUCCAGUGGGCAAAAGGUGUCACAUUGCAUUAGCACACAAAGAAGCUGCCAUGUAAAACACACAAGCGUUUAUGUAAGGGUGCUCGCACUGGUGCCUGCCAUCCUGAUAGUCAUUCAUUGUAGCCAAACUUCAAGGUUACCACCACAGAGCAGAUCAAUGAGAGAAUGUCGCAUUGGUCAGGGAACUAAUGUGAAAGG